rnacentral:piRNA from 1 species
UACAAGAGGCCUUGUUGGAGGAAGU